CGCCAGGCGGGCAGUGGAGGGCGCGGGCCGUGGCUGCCGGGACCGCAUCGCCUUGCCCUCCUGGAGCCCCAUCUCGGUCCCCCGACCUCCUGGAGCCCCCAGGGAUGCGAACGGUCCCGAGGAUGCUGAGAGGAGGGCUGGGCUGACCCUGCCAUUGGGAGAAAGCCUCGCAUUCCAGGGCGAGGCGGCCGGAGCCGGGUUGUCAGGUGCAUAAAGAAUUCCUGGAAGCCCCUCGCAGCCUUUUGAGGAGCGUGGGUUCGUGUUUCCCGAGGGCGCCAACGUCGCGAGGCCCCCCUGGGGUCCCAGCCGUGCAGAACCCCAGGCCUCACCUUCUCCAUUUCCCCGAAGCUUGGACCCAGGCGCAAGUUUCCAAGCAGCUGGAGGCCAAGUGUUCCGUCUGGGGGGACCGGCAGGGUGCAAGAAGGGCCGGCCCACCCCCGUGCAGCCCAAGGGCCUGCUGACCAGCCUCAAGGGGCGGUGAACCUAGAUGUGGCCAAUUUCAAAAAAGGCAACCCAAAUGCAAGGACAUGCCUCAGAUCAUCACUGCAAAUUACAAGUGGAGUGGCUGGGACAGUGCUCAACCCAUCAUGACCUCAAACCCCCAAAUCUGAAAAACUCAGGAUUAACUCAAAAAUCUGUCUCCCAAGCUUCUCAGGAGUAGAGCUUUAUAUAGAGACUUGUCUUUGGUUUCAUACCCUGGCUCUCAUCUGUCCCUUCUAUAUGGAGAAGGCCUGAACCAAUGCGUGUUACCUGCAGAAGCAGAAGGCCGCCCUGAAUGAUGAAUAGAGAGGCCCUGAUGCAGAAGAUGGUGAACACUUCCAUUUAGGGCAACUCACUAUAAGCAAGAAAUGUCUUCGAGGGGUGCCAGGGUGGCUUAGUCCGCUAAGGGCCUGCCUUUGACUCAAGUCACGAUCCUGGAGUCUGGGGAUCAAGCCCCGCCUUGGGCUCCCUGCUCAGUGAGGAGGCUGCUUCUCCCUCUACUCCUCAUCCUGCUCAUGCUCACUGUCUCUCUCUCUCUCUCUGU
rnacentral:lncRNA from 1 species